UUGAUAUGGGCAGCUAUAGGUCAUGUUCCUUAUAACGACACAGUUAAUGAGAAAUCCAUCAGACAGGUUUUGCGGUACGACAGUGAAAGGUGGAUAACAGCCCUCAAGAAACACCCCUGCUCCAUUUCCCCCCUCUCUUGGUCCACAUUGCACCCCAGCAAAUGGCUGUGAACUUCCAUUUGUGGUAAGGGGAGGCCCACUCUUUGAGCGACCUUGAGUGACACGUGAGCGGUAAGAGAAUGUGAGCAACUUGGAUGGUCCCGUGGUUGUGUUUGGUGAGUAAUAUCCGACACUCGGUGAGGAGGAGGAACAGAAACAACUGGGAGAGACACAAUGAGAGACGUGUUGUCAUGCGACUGAGGCCUCGUUUAAUUCCUUGACCCACAGGAGUCACAGGCCAAUCGAGCUGCCGUCUUUUGAUACGGUGUACCGUGGCAAACAUUUUGGCCCCACAUCCUUUUUUUUAUUUUGCCCCCCUCUCCUCCUUCCUCCCCUACCACCGUCUCUUUCACACUUUUUGUCCUUGCAAAUUCAUCUCUUUGCACGUCAUUAGCAAGCUGGCGCCUAAUGAAUUUCUUAUCUCUCCGAAUUCAGUGGCUGUGGCGAUAACAUUUAUUGUUUUCAGUUUUACUAUUCCCCACACUGGAGGCAGGGAGGGAGUUAGUGCGUGUGCGAAAGAGAAGGAGAGAGGGAAAGAAACCGAAAGUUAGUUGGGCAAAUAUUUUGACGGACAGACAGAGGUCUCACCAGUGGUGUCAUUUUGGCUGUGUAUCACCUCAGCAUUUAUUUCAUAAGUUUUAAAAAUGUGAACAUAAAUGAAGGCAUUCGAUUGUGAGUGCUGUAGAGGCGGAUUGCAGCACACUGGGAGGGAAACAGUACAUGGAGAGGUGUCAAAAAGAACAGGUGGUGGGAAAUGACGGCGGGAGGAGACGAGAAGACGAGUAAAAAGAGAAAAGGGAGAAGAGACAAACGAGUGGCUCAACCUUUAUUGGAAAGAAGGAGGAAAGCAAAUAAUAAAUGAAUAAUUACAUGAAUAAAAAUGGCUGCCACUGAUUUGGAAGCCGAUACGGCGAGGGGACGGGAAGGAAGAAGCUCCGAGAUGAUUAAACAAGGGGAGAGAAAAGGAUCGGAGUCGAAGGACAGAGCAGUGGCAGAUGGGAGUGUUCUGGUCUGUUACCAAUGUUCCUCCGAAGAAUUAGAGUCCAGGAAGAGCAACUCAGACAGCCGUUGUACACGCAGUGGCGAGUCUACACGAGGACCCGGAGGCUUCAUCACACUCCCAGUCUCAGUUACACCCAGCCAGAAAAGCUGCCACCAUGUUGCUGGGCACUGCAGCGCUCGGCAACCGUCCACAUGUCCUGGGCAUGGCUGAAGUGGGCGCGGCCGGCAGGGAGACGCUCAACUGCCUCAGCAGGAACAUCAGGAGCACAAUUCUGCUCGCUGUCCCCGCGCAUAUGGCCCUGUUUUUCAUCUUUAGGUGUGCACAGUGCAAAUGAGAAGAGAGAGAGAACGAGGUCGGGCCCGAGGAAUGGAUGGGGAGACAGCGGGAGGAAGACAGGAGCAAGAUAGAAGGUUUGGCAGAGAGAGGGAGGAUGGACAAACUGAGAAAGACGGAAAGGCACGGUCGCAAGAAAUGAGUGAUUUAGGGAGACAGAGAGAAAAGGGUUGAGAGGGUGUGAAAUGCGAGAAGAGAGUUUAAUUUGUUUUCUGGCAGUGUCGUGCCGUCACAGAAAUGUGUUUACCAGCCCCUACUUUGCCAUUAGUGACACUCGGGCGCUCCUGUGGAAGAAACCAAAUAGGUUCAUAACUGCCUCAUGUAUCCUCCAAAUGUCCCCAUAGCUCUCCGUCUGUUGGACUGUGUCCGUCCGUAUGUCUCCCCUCCUCUCAUCAUCCAUCGCCCGCUCCCUCUCCCUCUGUCUUCUGUCUCUCUCCUUUGUUUUUUUGUUUUGUUUCUCUCCUCCUCCUCCUCCUGUCUGCUCCCUCCUUGUGUGUUCGGUCUUUCUCCGGGUUUCGAACCGCUGCCGGUUGUAGUGAUCGGACGCUGACCCAGAAGUGCCACGGAUGCAACGAGGGGGCGCAGGAGUGGAGAGCAUGCAAAUGAGAGAGAGAGAGCGAGAGAGAGAGAGAGAGAGAGAGAGAGAGAGAGAGAGAGAGAGAGAGAGAAGGACACACACGCAGAUGCUGCGUCCCGUUUUAGGGACUGCUUCCGUAGACAGAUGUUGCCCACCAGGGUGUAGCCUCCCAAAAAAUGAGACGGCGUGCAGAAGAUUCGUCAUUGCGUCGUGACUUUUUCUGCUCCUUUCCCCUCACAAGCCAAAAACUAGAUCAUGCCAGCUUGUGAAAUUAAAAUGUUGUUACUCACAAGAGAAAA